rnacentral:rRNA from 1 species
UCUACGGAGAGUUUGAUUCUGGCUCAGAACGAACGCUGGCGGCGUGGAUAAGACAUGCAAGUCGAACGGGAUAUUAGUAGCAAUACUAAUGUCCAGUGGCGUAAGGGUGCGUAACACGUGGGUAACCUGCCGAAAAGUGGGGGAUAGCUCGCCGAAAGGCGAAUUAAUACCGCAUAACACAUUUGUUAAAGCCGGGGCAACCUGGCGCUUUUUGAGGGGCCCGCGGCCUAUCAGCUAGUUGGUGAGGUAUCGGCUUACCAAGGCUAUGACGGGUAGCUGGUCUGAGAGGACGACCAGCCACACUGGAACUGAGACACGGUCCAGACACCUACGGGUGGCAGCAGUCGAGAAUUUUUCUCAAUGGGGGAAACCCUGAAGGAGCGACGCCGCGUGGAGGAUGAAGGUCUUCGGAUUGUAAACUCCUGUCAUUGAAGAACAAAAUAGGUAAGUUAACUGCUUAUCUAUCGAUAGUAUUCGAAGAGGAAGGGACGGCUAACUCUGUGCCAGCAGCCGCGGUAAUACAGAGGUCCCAAGCGUUGUUCGGAUUCAUUGGGCGUAAAGGGAGCGUAGGUGGUCGGGUAAGUCAGAUGUCAAAUUUCGACGCUCAACGUCGAACCGCAUUUGAUACUGCCUGGCUAGAGGAAUUGAGAGGAGGCCGGAAUUCACGGUGUAGCAGUGAAAUGCGUAGAUAUCGUGAGGAAGACCAACGGCGAAAGCAGGCCUCUGGAAAUCUCCUGACACUGAGGCUCGAAGGCCAGGGGAGCAAACGGGAUUAGAUACCCCGGUAGUCCUGGCAGUAAACGGUGCACGUUUGGUGUGGGAGGAUUCGACCCCUUCCGUGCUGAAGCUAACGCGUUAAACGUGCCGCCUGAGAAGUACGGUCGCAAGAUUAAAACUCAAAGAAAUUGACGGGGGCCCGCACAAGCGGUGGAGUAUGUGGCUUAAUUCGAUGCAACGCGAAGAACCUUACCUGGCCUUGACAUGCAGGAGACCGGGGGUGAAAGCCCCCUUUUCGCAAGAACUGCUGCACAGGUGCUGCAUGGCUGUCGUCAGCUCGUGUCGUGAGAUGUUGGGUUAAGUCCCGCAACGAGCGCAACCCUUGUGAACUGUUGCCGAGGUUAAUACCGAGGCUCUCUGUUCAGACUGCCCUGUGAAACGGGGAGGAAGGUGGGGAUGACGUCAAGUCAGCAUGGCCCUUACGGCCAGGGCUGCACACGUACUACAAUGCCCAGUACAGAACGAUCCAAAACCGCGAGGUGGAGGAAAUCCUGAAAACUGGGCCCAGUUCGGAUUGGAGGCUGCAACUCGCCUCCAUGAAGCCGGAAUCGCUAGUAAUGGCGCAUCAGCUACGGCGCCGUGAAUACGUUCCCGGGCCUUGUACACACCGCCCGUCACAUCAUGGAAGUCUCUUGUUCCCGAAGUCAAAUGGUCAACCGCAAGGAAACCAUUGCCUAAGGAAUGAGCGGUAACUGGGAUGAAGUCGUAACAAGGUAGCCGUAGGGGAACCUGCGGCUGGAUCACCUCCUUU